rnacentral:rRNA from 1 species
AGAGUUUGAUCCUGGCUCAGAAUCAACGCUGGCGGCGCGCUUAACACAUGCAAGUCGAGCGAGAAAGUGGAGCAAUCCAUGAGUAAAGCGGCGUACGGGUGAGUAACACGUGGGUGAUCUACCUCUUAGUGGGGGAUAACCCUGGGAAACCGGGGCUAAUACCGCAUAAUCCUGUGAAGGGAAAGCAGCAAUGCGCUGAG